GGGGGGGGGGGGGGCACGCGUAUACGGGAGCUUACCGCGUUUAAGUGAGAAAGUUGUUGCAAAACUUCAAAGAUGGCGUCGUUUAAGUGUUUUUCGUGAAGGAGUGGCGGAUGUUUUCACCCGAUAUCUAGACGCCAGUUAUAUAUGUUGAGGAUGCCGUUAUUAAAAAAGACGGCGUAACGAAGUGUGUACCGCUCUAGAAUGCCAUAGGUACAUAAAAACCCACCAAUCAAACAAAAAGGAUUACGUCGAAGGACCUUGCCAAACAAUCACAUGCAAUAAAAGUGUAAUGAAAAACAGAAGAGGGUAAAGCCGGUUUGAUACUAGUAUAAGGUUGAUGUAACCAAAUACUGCCAUUGUUGCGAUUCGGAAUACAUGAAGCAAUUUGGAAUACCUGAAAUCUGCUUAGAAGAUGCAUAUCGGUGGAUGUUUUUAUAUGAUACUUAAAUAUGAAUUGUUUAUUUAAUACAAUGACAUUUGAUGCGUUUUACCAUAACGAUACUGAUACAUGUAUGUGACUUUGAUGUGACACAUUUUGGACGACUUUCUUUUAAACCAGUUUUGAGUUGGUCACUAAAUUAUAAUCGCAAAAAGUGAAUUUGUAGUGGAUAGAAAGAUUUGUGCAAAUGCAAUACACGAUAUGAUUUCAGUAGAAGUGAUCAAUAUAAUUUUUAUACAUGUAUGUUUUUUCUCUUUUAAACCUAUGUGAAUACAUAUUAUUUAUGACUGUUGUAUUGAGGGAAUAAAGUAUUGGUUCACUUAGAAAGAUUAGAAAAAAAACGAGGGAAGCACACACACCGGAGAGCCGAAACGGCGUAUUCAUUUAAAUAAUCAUAAAUACAAAGGGGCUUACCGGGUGAAAAUAUCCUCCCUUCCUUUAAGAAAAUCCAACAAACGACGCCAUCUUUGAAGUUUUGCAACAACUUUCUCACUUAAACGCGGUAAGCUCCUGUAUACGCGUGCCCCCCUGUCUAUCAUGCUUUUAUUUUGGAUCUGACAAAUAAAAUACUUAAAUGUAUUUUAUAAAGAGGGAAUAUCGGCAGUCACGCGUUUUUCAGAUGUUUAUCCCAUACAACGUGGCUGCUGACAAGGAGAUCCGCUCAGCUGUUAUAUGUUCAUACUUUGCGCUAAAAUAUUGUUUAUUAAAUUAAGGUCAAAUACUAAGAUUAAGGAAAUUAAAAUUAAUGACGUGAAAUACAAAUUGUCACAGUUUGCUGACGACACUUCUAUACUCCUGGAUGGCUCUGCAGUAUCUCUCAAUGAAACUUAAGAUUUGUUAUCAUGAUUUUUAAAGUGCUCACGGUUAACAGUUGGUUUCGACAAAACAAAAGUAGUUUGGAUAGAUACAAAUAUGUUUAGCUCCGAAAACAUUAAGACAAGAUGGAAAUAAAUUGGAACAGACACAAAAAAUACGUGCUUGGCUAAACAUUUCAAGUUAAUCUUUUUAAAACAAUAUAGAAAUAAAUUGUGUUGACAAAAUAGUUAAAUUAAAAGUCUUACUAAAACAACAUAAGAAUUAGCGGUGUUAAAUCAUCCCUUUGUUUUAUUGCCUUGUCCACCACCUAAUUUGUUAGCAGACAUAAAUUUGCUAUGGUUUAAUUUUGUGUGGAAUGUUUAACCAAAAAUUAGCAAAAUAUUGCAAUAAAAUAAUAUACAAAAGGUGGUCUAAAGAUGAUUGAUCUGUUUGCUUUUGUAACAUCUCUGAAGAGCUCAUGGAUCCCUUCAAUUGUCACUGGAAAUGGAAAAUGGAAAAAUAUUUGUAAUGCUAUGGUUGAUUUUCAGAAAUCAUACAACUGCGGGAGUCACUAUCCUGAAAACCUAAUUUACAAGAUACACAAUGAAUUAUGGAAUGAUACAUUGAAAUCCUAAGUUGAACUUAAUAAAAAAGAACCAUUUAAAAAUUCAGCUUUGGCUUCAGCAUCAAAUAUUCUAUAACCUCGACAUAACAAUUGGUAGCAAAAGUGUGUAUUUAAAGUGAUAUUAUGGGUAUUUCUUACUGUUGAAUUGAGCUGAAAUGAAUUAACAGGUCAAAAGAGUUAGUUAAAAUGUGGUUACUGACCAAUUAUUUGCAACUCAUCAUGCUACCAGUUGGUUAUAAAAAUAUAUUUUAUAUUCGAUAUUCUUACGUGACUCACCCAGUCCUGUAAAUCGAAAUGAUCCGUAAAACAAAAUUGUGUCUUUGUGUCGUAUGAACGAAUCUGCACUAAAACUUAAUUUAGGUUCACAUCGUGCAUUCAUGAUCAGUUGUCAAACGAAAGUACGGUUGAUAUUCAGAUGCAUUAUUUUUCUCUUUCCGGGAUAUUGUUUUAGUAUUUUGAUGCUGCAUUAACAAAUAUAAGUGUAUAUGAAGUAAAAACACCAAAAAUAAACAACGGUUGCGACAGACACCUAUAAACUGCUAGAUGCCCAUAAUAUCACUUUAAAUCAUUGUUUGAAAAGGACAUUCAUUUUUGUUGGGGAUUUGAUGCACAGCACUGAAUGUUUAACCUUUUACAGUAAUGAAUAGUUUUGCAAAGUAUAUAAAUCCAUUCAAACUACAUAUUUUUGCUAUGAAUUAUUAACGCAGUAAAAAAUACAUGACUUUCAGAAGCUCAUAUGACACAAGCUUUAUGAAGCCAUGCAUCCCCAUUAGCCUACGACCUGUCUUGGUAGACAAAACGUACACAACAAAAUGAAAUAAUUUCCAAAAACGAGACUUCACGAGGUAUAGAUAAAUGGUUGAACAUUUUUAAUAAUAUUGAAAAAAAAAAGGCAACAUUUUUGUAGAUGCCGUUUCAUAUAACACAC